ACUCCUACGGGAGGCAGCAGUGGGGAAUAUUGGACAAUGGGCGAAAGCCUGAUCCAGCCAUGCCGCGUGUGUGAAGAAGGUCUUCGGAUUGUAAAGCACUUUAAGUUGGGAGGAAGGGCAGUAAGCGAAUACCUUGCUGUUUUGACGUUACCGACAGAAUAAGCACCGGCUAACUCUGUGCCAGCAGCCGCGGUAAUACACGAGGAUGCGAGCGUUAUCCGGAUUUAUUGGGUUUAAAG
rnacentral:rRNA from 1 species